UAGAUGUCUUACAAUCUUUUUGAAUUCAAACUAAAUAAUAGAUGAGAAGGAACAAAGCCAAAUCUGAAACUCCCUUUAGUUGAAUCCCGAGGGAUCAGUCUCAGAAGCAGAUGACUUUUGUAAUUAACUUUGAACAAAG